AUUGAACGCUGGCGGCAGGCCUAACACAUGCAAGUCGAACGGUAGCACAGAGAGCUUGCUCUCGGGUGACGAGUGGCGGACGGGUGAGUAACAUCUGGGAAACUGCCCGAUGGAGGGGGAUAACUACGGGAAACGGUAGCUAAUACCGCAUAACGUCGCAAGACCAAAGUGGGGGACCUUCGGGCCUCACACCAUCGGAUGUGCCCAGAUGGGAUUAGGUAGUAGGUGGGGUAAUGGCUCACCUAGGCGACGAUCCCUAGCUGGUCUGAGAGGAUGACCAGCCACACUGGAACUGAGACACGGUCCAGACUCCUACGGGAGGCAGCAGUGGGGAAUAUUGCACAAUGGGCGCAAGCCUGAUGCAGCCAUGCCGCGUGUAUGAAGAAGGCCUUCGGGUUGUAAAGUACUUUCAGCGGGGAGGAAGGCGGUGAAGUUAAUAACUUCACCGAUUGACGUUACCCGCAGAAGAAGCACCGGCUAACUCCGUGCCAGCCGCCGCGGUAA
rnacentral:rRNA from 1 species